UUUCACGGGAUUUAUUUUUAACUAUCCAAAAUUGAGGAGGUCUCACGUUGACAGAGUCUGGAAUUUGAUUAUUUUUCGGAUCUCACUUUUUGCCAUCUCUUAGCUCGUUGUGAAGAUUUCGCGACUUCAACUUCAUGCCUGUAAUUAAUCCCAACUCUAAUCCACCGCCCAAUGACCCUUAUUACUCUUAUUAUUCCCUGAAUCGCAACCUCGAUUAUCGCUGCAUCAACUCCAUCAUGUCUGUACUGAAUCAUCAAGUGUCGCCUCCACCAUCGCUCGCAGACCACCUGGAGUGGAUUUCUCUCCAUCCUUGACCGCUUUACAAUAAUCUAACGCCACCUAUUAUGUAUAAACUAAUGCUUCUGGGUACUAUUUGGAUCUCAAUGUGCAGAAUUGAGCUGCCAGGGAGGCCGUCCGGCAGUACGGGAUGGACCUUGCUGGAUAUGGAGGCGCUGUUGUGAGCGGUUGGCCUUCUUUUACCUUUCUUAACUUUUUUUAUUUUUAUUUUUUAAAUAUUGAAUAGAAAAGAAAUGUUGUAUGUUUGCUUAUGUGAACGUAGAAGCAAUACUAUAUUGUUACUGCAUCCCCAGAUAUUCCGUCGUUGUCAGCAUCUUCCGGUAAUUUCGCCAGAGCUGGCCUAUUCUAGCAUAACGGCGACUAUUUGUAUGAAGUACUCCGGCUUUACCUUGCCUUACUAUGAACAUUAAAAGAUGUGCACUUUUGGAUUGCUUUCUAAUAAUAUUCUCUUCUGGCAAGAUUUCAGUUUACAGGUUUAGAAGUUCUACUCUUAAGAUAAAAGCUAAUGGGAAGAAGACUGUCACAACACCACAAGAUGGCGCAGAACAGUUGGCAGUUGCACAUCCUGGGUCAAUUGUGUGGACUAAGGGUGGCUUCGGUUCUAGUUUCAGCCUUUACAUGGAACCGGAUGGCAGGAUGUUGAUCCUCUUUGGGCUCAGUUUGAUUUUGAUUUGAAUCAAAUUGUUGAAUAGCUUGAAAUCACAUUGUACUGGACCGAUUGGGUUUCACUUCAGGUUGAUUUUAGUCAAUCCCAGGCCAAGAAUCUUAUGCAUGCUGGUGUAAACUUUAAUUUUUUCA